rnacentral:rRNA from 1 species
UCCUACGGGAGGCAGCAGUGGGGAAUUUUGCGCAAUGGGCGAAAGCCUGACGCAGCAACGCCGCGUGCGGGAUGAAGGCUCUCGGGUCGUAAACCGCUUUCAGCAGGGACGAAACUGACUGUACCUGCAGAAGAAGCCCCGGCUAAAUACGUGCCAGCAGCCGCGGUAAUACGUAUGGGGCAAGCGUUAUCCGGAUUCAUUGGGCGUAAAGAGCGCGUAGGCGGCUUGUUAAGUCAGAUGUGAAAACCGGGGGCUCAACCCGCGGCCUGCAUCUGAAACUGGCAGGCUUGAGUCUGGUAGAGGAAAGUGGAAUUCCCAGUGUAGCGGUGAAAUGCGCAGAUAUUGGGAGGAACACCAGUGGCGAAGGCGGCUUUCUGGGCCACGACUGACGCUGAGGCGCGAAAGCUAGGGGAGCAAACAGGAUUAGAUACCCUGGUAGUCCUAGCCGUAAACGAUGGGCACUAGGUGUGGGGGGUCAUCAACUCCCUCCGUGCCGCAGCUAACGCAUUAAGUGCCCCGCCUGGGGAGUACGACCGCAAGGUUAAAACUCAAAGGAAUUGACGG